GGGAGCAGGAUGGGGGUGGGGGGGGGCCCACACAGGUCUUUCCCGUGCGGCCAAUGGGACGUCGACUUUUCCGCGCCCAACAGGUCGGCAAUGCGGGCGAUUCGUUUUCGGCUCGAUUGCGGCCCGGCUGAAACGCGCACGGGUCACAAUGAGCGAUACGGUACUCGGCUCCGGGGAUCCGCGUCCGGCACACGGUUCCGCGGUUUUAUUUUCGGCCGUUCGCGCGUGAUAAACAACAAACACAACACGUCGUACGCGGCGGCGGCGUAUUCGGUUGUCCGCGGACGACGUUUUCGUUCACACGAUACACACAUACAUUACGUCGUUAGGAUGUUAUCCGUCGAUUACGGAACACAAUGUAAUUGUGACGUCUACAAUUACUGCUCGGCAGAUUGCACAGGACUAAUGAUAAUACGGUCACGGGCGAACAGAAACGCCGUUUGGUUCAAUCGAGCGCGGCAUUACGUAUUGCUGUCGACGGGACGGGCGCGAACGGACCGCGGCCGUAACGGCCUUUACCGUUUGAUAGAAAAAUACCUCUACCGGUUUUUUUUUUUUUGUCUUUCUUCCCGCUACUUUUUCUCGUAGAAACCUACGCCGCCCGCGGCGGUUCGUCUACGCGGCGCGGAGCGGAGAAAAAUGUGUGUACAAUCUCAAAAAGUGCCCCGCGCGCGCUCAGAGAGAAAGCGUGAGAGACGGCGCGAAAAAAAGGCCGCGACCCCCGGCGCGACCCGGACGUCGUGUCCCGUCCGUUCCGUUACGGUCGGCUACGGGUUCCGAGACGGACGGGCACGGGCGUUAUUUCGAGUUCGAUUCGUUCGGAGCGAGAGGCGUUUUGUCCGCGGCGGCGACGACUGAUAAAUCGUCUCGUUUUCCGCCCCUCCGGCAACCUCGCUACGACACAAGAGUGGCCUAUCAUUUUUUUUUUUUUUUUUUUUUUUUUUUUUUUUUUUUUUUUUUCCUCCUUUCCUCUCUUCGUAACGCAUGGGAGAGACACGCAUUCUGCGGCGGUUACCUGUACGGCCGCGUUCAUGGCUAUCAAGGUUUAUAGAUAAUUAUCUGCGCAGACCUUGUACGGCCACGCCGAUUAUGACAAUCUCUAACCCCGUGCGGCGGCGCGCCGAACGUGUAGGAGAACCGGUGGAUAAUAAUAUAAUUAUCGUGCAGCCGCGACGCUAUCGAUGUGUUUCGAUUGUUCGUAGUUUUCGAUAAUUAUUUAUUUACCGACGAAAAAACGUAUUCGCGUCGAAUGUCGAACGGGCGCGAACUAUAAUAAACACGAAAACGACAUUUAUUACUGUACGCUCGGAAUAUGUUUCUGCGCGCGAUUAAACCUGUUUAAUCACGCGAUAAACGUAAGCCCGUAGACAUAUGACAUUACAAUGUCGAAUGGCUUUCGCAUUCGCUAGAGAAAAACAAAACGGUUUUCGCAUGCGCUUGCGUGCCCCGCGUAACGAUACGUGAACCGACGAUAACCGGCGGACAUGGCAGGACGGACAGCCGACGGGAUACGGCGGUUCUGACGACGCACAAUCGGCUAGGUCCAGAGUGGCACCGAGAUAAUAAUAUCCUGACGGUUCGCGGGCCCGGUUCGACUAUCGAUAGUUACCCGCGCCACAUACCCGACGACUAAACCGACCGGCGCGCGUUUGGCCGCCGCGUACAAAUGUUCGAACGUAUUAUUUUCCGACAAUUCCGUACCGAGAACAUAUUGCACCGAGUCAGGUGCCCGGCGACCGCGCGCGCACGG